rnacentral:rRNA from 1 species
GAUGAACGCUAGCGGCAGGCUUAACACAUGCAAGUCGAGGGGUAGGAGAAGCUUGCUUUUCUGAGACCGGCGCACGGGUGCAUAACGCGUAUGCAAUCUACCUUUCACAGAGGGAUAGCCCAGAGAAAUUUGGAUUAAUACCUCAUAGUAAUACGACUUGGCAUCAAGAUGUAUUUAAAGAUUUAUCGGUGAAAGAUGAGCAUGCGUCCCAUUAGCUAGUUGGUAUGGUAACGGCAUACCAAGGCAACGAUGGGUAGGGGUCCUGAGAGGGAGAUCCCCCACACUGGUACUGAGACACGGACCAGACUCCUACGGGAGGCAGCAGUGAGGAAUAUUGGACAAUGGGCGCAAGCCUGAUCCAGCCAUGCCGCGUGCAGGAUGACGGUCCUAUGGAUUGUAAACUGCUUUUAUACAGGAAGAAACACCUCUACGUGUAGAGACUUGACGGUACUGUAAGAAUAAGGAUCGGCUAACUCCGUGCCAGCAGCCGCGGUAAUACGGAGGAUCCAAGCGUUAUCCGGAAUCAUUGGGUUUAAAGGGUCCGUAGGCGGUCAGAUAAGUCAGUGGUGAAAGCCCAUCGCUCAACGGUGGAACGGCCAUUGAUACUGUCUGACUUGAAUUAUUAGGAAGUAACUAGAAUAUGUAGUGUAGCGGUGAAAUGCUUAGAGAUUACAUGGAAUACCAAUUGCGAAGGCAGGUUACUACUAAUUGAUUGACGCUGAUGGACGAAAGCGUGGGUAGCGAACAGGAUUAGAUACCCUGGUAGUCCACGCCGUAAACGAUGGAUACUAGCUGUUGGGAGCAAUCUCAGUGGCUAAGCGAAAGUGAUAAGUAUCCCACCUGGGGAGUACGAACGCAAGUUUGAAACUCAAAGGAAUUGACGGGGGCCCGCACAAGCGGUGGAGCAUGUGGUUUAAUUCGAUGAUACGCGAGGAACCUUACCAAGGCUUAAAUGUAGAUUGACCGGUUGGAAACAG